rnacentral:rRNA from 2 species
CCCGGGCUCAACCUGGGAACUGCAUUCGAAACUGGCAGGCUAGAGUCUUGUAGAGGGGGGUAGAAUUCCAGGUGUAGCGGUGAAAUGCGUAGAGAUCUGGAGGAAUACCGGUGGCGAAGGCGGCCCCCUGGACAAAGACUGACGCUCAGGUGCGAAAGCGUGGGGAGCAAACAGGAUUAGAUACCCUGGUAGUCCACGCCGUAAACGAUGUCGAUUUGGAGGUUGUGCCCUUGAGGCGUGGCUUCCGGAGCUAACGCGUUAAAUCGACCGCCUGGGGAGUACGGCCGCAAGGUUAAAACUCAAAUGAAUUGACGGGGGCCCGCACAAGCGGUGGAGCAUGUGGUUUAAUUCGAUGCAACGCGAAGAACCUUACCUGGUCUUGACAUCCACAGAACUUUCCAGAGAUGG